rnacentral:misc_RNA from 1 species
CGUCAGGUACUGCGGAGGACAUUACUGAGUGAGGGCCCUCUGGGUCCAACCUCCCACCCGUGUUUAUUGUACCUUGUUGCUUCGGCGGGCCCGCCUUUAUGGCCGCCGGGGGGCUUACGCUCCCGGGCCCGCGCCCGCCGAAGACACCCUCGAACUCUGUCUGAAGAUUGUAGUCUGAGUGGAAUUAUAAAUUAUUUAAAACUUUCAACAACGGAUCUCUUGGUUCCGGCAUCGAUGAAGAACGCAGCGAAAUGCGAUACGUAAUGUGAAUUGCAGAAUUCAGUGAAUCAUCGAGUCUUUGAACGCACAUUGCGCCCCCUGGUAUUCCGGGGGGCAUGCCUGUCCGAGCGUCAUUGCUGCCCUCAAACACGGGUUGUGUGUUGGGCCCCGGGGCUCCGAUCCCGGGGGAC